AAAAAGUCUUAUCCAUUAUUUAUGUAAAUCAUUUGUUUGUAACAAUCAUAUUUAGAUUACUCACAAAAACUUCAUGUGACACUAAAGCAGUUAGCCAUCAUCUUAAGUUAAGUACAUACAUCAUAACACAUAAUUGUUUAAAAGUUU